UUUCCGUAGGUGAACCUGCGGAAGGAUCAUUACCGAGUGAGGGCCCCUCGCGGCCCAACCUCCCACCCUUGUCUCCAACACCUGUUGCUUCGGCGGGCCCACCGGGGCCACCCGGUCGCCGGGGGACAUCCGUCCCCGGGCCCGCGCCCGCCGAGGCGCUCUGUGAACCCUGAUGAAGAUGGGCUGUCUGAGUGAUAUGAAAAUUGUCAAAACUUUCAACAAUGGAUCUCUUGGUUCCG
rnacentral:misc_RNA from 1 species